UCCACUUGUACCAAAAAAAAAGGUUGGCCAUAGCUAAUCUGAAGGAGUUGAACAUGAGAAUCUAGAUCAAUUGAUCUGAUUCAGUAAGCUUGCAAUCCUAGAAAGAUCAGACUCGGACCUCGGCCAUGGUCGAGGUAGGUAGGGGCCAACCACCUAUCUCGGCCACGACUGACCUAAAUAAGAUUAUUCAAAGAAGGCAGUAAUCCCAAUCUAGAAGGGA
rnacentral:lncRNA from 1 species